rnacentral:rRNA from 1 species
UACGGAGGGUGCAAACGUUGCUCGAAAUUACUGGGCGUAAAGGGCUCGUAGGUGGCCAACUAAGUCGGACGUGAAAUCCCUCGGCUUAACCGGGGAACUGCGUCUGAUACUGGAUGGCUUGAGUUCGGGAGAGGGAUGCGGAAUUCCAGGUGUAGCGGUGAAAUGCGUAGAUAUCUGGAGGAACACCGGUGGCGAAGGCGGCAUCCUGGACCGACACUGACGCUGAGGAGCGAAAGCCAGGGGAGCAAACGGG